AAGUCAAUCUAGGUCACCACAAAGGACAGUACGUAGACCUAAACCACCAGCUAAAAAUAGUGAUGAAUGGGAAACAGUGGUUAGGAGAAAAAGGAUAGGAUCACCAAAAGGGCACAAUGAUGGAUUGCCCAAAUCUGGUGUAACAUUUAUGAAGCCUCACAACAAUAGGCCACGCAUGAAUAUGCAUCAGGAAACUAUCCAUCAUAACCACAACAGAUUUCAACCUUUGAGCACCCCCUCAAAUGACGAGGAUUUUUGGCAUCGACAUGGGAGGGGACGCUACAAAGAAAUUCCCAUAUAUCGAGCAUCACCAGGGAAACGGAGACGAAGUUUAGAGGAAGGGGAAGUAGAGGAGGUAUACGGGUACAAAAAAG